GGUAGCCUACACAUGCAGUCGAACGGCAGCACAGAGGAGCUUGCUCCUUGGGUGGCGAGUGGCGGACGGGUGAGGAAUACAUCGGAAUCUACUCUGUCGUGGGGGAUAACGUAGGGAAACUUACGCUAAUACCGCAUACGACCUACGGGUGAAAGCAGGGGAUCUUCGGACCUUGCGCGAUUGAAUGAGCCGAUGUCGGAUUAGCUAGUUGGCGGGGUAAAGGCCCACCAAGGCGACGAUCCGUAGCUGGUCUGAGAGGAUGAUCAGCCACACUGGAACUGAGACACGGUCCAGACUCCUACGGGAGGCAGCAGUGGGGAAUAUUGGACAAUGGGCGCAAGCCUGAUCCAGCCAUACCGCGUGGGUGAAGAAGGCCUUCGGGUUGUAAAGCCCUUUUGUUGGGAAAGAAAUCCAGCUGGCUAAUACCCGGUUGGGAUGACGGUACCCAAAGAAUAAGCACCGGCUAACUUCGUGCCAGCAGCCGCGGUAAU
rnacentral:rRNA from 1 species